rnacentral:misc_RNA from 1 species
GAAAAUCUGAAAAUACAAAUAUUCUUCCGGUGAACACCCACCCAUCAUCUCUGCUUCAGUUCUCCCGCCGGCGAUAUCUAAUUCCCGUGAGGAAGGUUGGGUGAAUCCUCGUCAUUUGCAUAGAAAGAAAAUGGUAACGACUUCAGUUGUCAACACGUACCCACUGUCCAGCUAUACAUUUGGUACCAAGGAGACCAAAAUGGAAAAGGACACCUCCG